AUGGAGAGGAGGCAGGGACCAGUAGAGUCCGGGGGCCUGCGUCUGGGGCAGAGGAAGAGGCGACGACGGGCUCUUGGGGGCCUGCGUCUGGCAAGGGCAGGAACGGCGGAGACCGGAGGCAGAGACGCUGGAGGAGAUGUCCUUGAUUUUUGGGCUGGAGGCGGCGGCGUCGCCCACUGGGCUGGAGGCGAAGUCGUCGGCCACUGGGCUGGAGACGGCGUCGUCGACCACUGGGCUGGAGACGGCGUCGUCGACCACUGGGCUGCAGACGGCGUCAUCGACCACUGGGCUGGAGAUAGCGUUGACCACAGGACUGGAGACGAAGUCGACCACUGGACUGGAGACGCCGUCAACCACUGGACUGGAGACGGCGUCGGCCACUGGUCUGGAGGGGACGUCAGCCUCUGGACACGAAGGGGCGUCGACCUCUGGACACGAAGGGCAUUGACCUCUGGACACGAAGGAGCGUCGACCUCUGGACACGAAGGAGCGUCGACCUCUGGACACGAAGGAGCGUCGACCUCUGGACACGAAGGAGCGUCGACCUCUGGACACGAAGGAACGUCGACCUCUGGACACGAAGGAGCGUCGACCUCUGGACACGAAGGAGCGUCGACCUCUGGACUGGAAAGAGCGUCGACCUCAGUACUGGAAAGAGCGUCGACCUCAGGACUGGAAAGAGUGUCGACCUCAGGACUGGAAAGUGCUUCAACCUCAGGACUGGAAAGAGAGUCGACCUCUGUACUGGAAAGAGCGUCAAACUCAGGACUGGAAAGAGCAUCAACCUCAGGACUGGAAAGAGCGUCGACUUCAGGACUGGAAAGGGCGUCGACCUCUGGAUUGGAAAGGACGUCAACCUUUGUAGACUUCUGGUCCGGGGGCGUCGACUUCUGGUCCGGGGGCGUCGACUUCUGGUCCAGGGGCAUCGACUUCUGGACCGUCGACUUCUGGACCGUCAACUUCUGGACUGUCGACUUCUGGACCGUCGACUUCUGGACCGUCGACUUCUGGACCGUCGACCUCUGGACCGUCGACCUCUGGACCAUCGGCUUCUGGACCGUCCGCUUUUGGACCGGGACCGUAGACUUCUGGACCGGGACCGUAGACUUCUGGACUGAGACCAUUGACUUCUGGACCGGAACCAUCGACUUCUGGAGCAGAACCUUCAACUUCGGGAACGGAGGCGUCGACUUCUGGACCGGAGGCGUCGACUUCUGGAGUGGAGGCGGAGCCGCUGCAGGAGGGGCCGCUGACUUGGCUGGUACCGCCGGACUGGGUGCUGACCACUGGACAGGCUGGCCUGGAGGCGGAGCCUCUUGGACAGGCUGGCCUGGGGGCGGAGCGUCCUGGACCACCGCUGGAACUGGCGCUGACUGGACUGGUGGCGCGGGACCUGGUGGAGCCGGUAACUGGAAAAGCAGGGAGGAUAGAUUAUCCAGCUGGAUCUCCUGGAGGCUGAGGAUCUGA
rnacentral:lncRNA from 1 species